ACGAAGUUAGAUCCGAAAUUCAGGGGUCCAUUCGUAAUAGCCGAGAUUUUGGAAGGAGAUAGAUAUACCCUAAAAACCUUAGACGGCAAACGAUCAUAUAAGGACAGACACGACAGACUGAGAAAAAUGCCAGAAGGUUGCGUCCCUGCUGAGUUAGACGUCUGCGGUGAUGACAACGGCGGUGAUAAUAACGAUGCAAGUACACUGACCUCAGAGGAUCAUUAACACUGCGUUGUGGUCAUAGUAAUACACCGAGUGGUUUUAUGUGCUUUUGUUGUAACCCGUUGAGUGGGGUUGAUGUGUUUUUGUUGUAACCCGUUGAGUGGGUUGAUGUGCUUUUUGUUGUAACCCGUUGAGUGGGGUUACGUGCUUUUGUUGUAACCCGUUGAGUGGGGUUACGUGCUUUUGUUGUAACCCGUUGAGUGGGCUUACGUGCUUUCUGGGUGUAAUGCACCCAACGUGGCAAUAUGAUCCAACAAACUGAGGUUCACCGGUGUACGAAAUCGAAAAUGAUCUGUUGUGUCAUUACGGUCUGGCUGGCGACUCACAGAACGCACCUAACACUUUGAAUACAAAUUAUAACAUUACAAAUUCCUAUUCUCUUUUAUUUUUCUGUUGUCAAACCUCCGAACGAAACUUUGUUAUUGCACUGGACCCUUGACUUACUUGGACAUUUAGUUAAAUCGCAAAUAAUGUCAGUUGUAUCGAAUCUAAUGUAAGAAAUACGAUAUUUUAGUUACACACGAGGACGUGUGAUAGUCAGGAUGGCCGUGUCGGAGAUGAAAGAACACCGGAGCCUUUGGAAUUUUGGAUAAUCCCGCAACAUUGUAACCUAGAGUCUACUAUAGCUGUAAUUGAACAAUUGUAGUUAUUCAACCCGAUUGUAAUUAUUCGAGAAUUGUGAUAAUGAGCUUGGGUUCGAGGCGACAGUCAGUCGCCGAACGUAGCCGCGGUCACGGGAUGAACGCUUUGCCUAACAAAGGUAUGAAGUAAUUCUAUAGCUCUCCUUAAAAGAAAUAUUUGUGGCGACACGCGACAGUAAACAUUCCAACGGUUUCUGUCCCGUGGCUCGCCACGUGCAGACCCUAUUCUUCGAGUAAGAUGAUUGCCAGAUGUCGAUGCGUCUCCGCAGUACAUGUUCGGCUAGCCCGAGGGCCCGUUAUAAAUCUUAAGGUUUAGUUAACUAAAGUCCUUCAAACAGACAAACAGUCUUUGUCCCAACUACGGGAAGAUAGGGGAGACAUAUUUUUCAACGAGCGGCGUCUCCCACUAGCAACUUUCCCUCGAGGGCGGCUAACAUCUUUUUCUAACCACCGAUAUAGAGAUUGACCAAUUAGCAGCAACGUCAAUUUCCCUUACUUCCUAAACGAAGGCUUUCCUCGACGAAUCCGAUGAUCUCGUGUCCUUAGACACACCCCAUUAUAGUUUUCCUCUGUGACAUCGUCGGGACGGGACGGGCAUUCUUUUACGCGCUCCCGUCGACCAAAGAGUAACGUCUUUACGCUCAGCAAUUAUUUUUACGAGUCAGACUUAGAUUCAGCGAGAACGCCCAUCUGUCAUCCCGUUGGCCGCGGAUUCGUUAUUGAACCGGAGACCACUGUCACUAGUGUCGCGGACGUCUCACCGCCGUGGUAGAUUGUCAAAACCUGUGUUAUUCAUACCUGUGUCAAUAAAUCGUAUCUUCGUUACACCGCAACGAUGGCUACCUUCAAUGAAGACUCCUCAAACACCGACAACCCUAUCCCCAA